AUAUUUAUAUGGCCCUUUCCCUUAGUUCAUUCCAUUCUUUGGCCAUACAUCAUCUUUUCAGAGAGGCUGUCCUUGACCACACAAUUUACAAUAACACCCUCAUCAUUCUCUAUCCCUUUGCUCUAUUUUUCUUCAUAGCACUUACUACUUUCUGUUAUUGUAUUAUAUAUUUAUAUUAUAUAUACAAAUGUUGAUUGUAUGUCUCUUCCAUUAUAAUGUAAGUUCCAUGAAGACCAAUAUCUCAACUUGAUGAUAAUUAUAUCCACAGUGCCUACAACACUGCCUACAACACUGCCUGGCACAGAGUAAAUACUAAAUGAUAUAUAUUUAAUAUGUAUUGAAAAAAUGAAUGAAGUUUACAGUGUCGGGCUUUAUAAGUUUCAUUGUCACAUAGUCAUAAUCAAUCUGUUGUUUGGACUUAGUCUUCCACUUAAAUAGAUUGGCUUACUGCAAAAUCUCCAUUCUUAAUUCUUUAUUUGGACUCAUUUCUUAUUUGAUUUGACUUCAUAUAUUGCCAAGUAAUUUUCACAAAUGACUCAUAGGUAGUAUAUUCCCUCAAUUUUGUUCAAGUUUGGAAUAAGCUGUCUGUUGCUUUUUUUGGUAGAUUGUAUUAUUGUUAGCAAUUAUCGACGACUCCUUUUCCAGUAGGAGAGUUAUAUAUCCCUAUCCAAUUGACUUUGGAAAGUUUUAAGAAAAAAGGGCAAUAGGCAGUAUUAGACAGGUCACUUAAAGAGAGAUUUGUUGGGAUUAAGCAGAAAAGGGGAUAGUGGUGAGAAAGCAACAUAUAUUGGCUAUUUAAAUUUAAAUUAAGUAAAAUUAAGUAAAAAGAAAAAUUCAGUUGGUAA
rnacentral:lncRNA from 1 species